rnacentral:rRNA from 1 species
GACGAACGCUGGCGGCGUGCCUAAUACAUGCAAGUUGAGCGCUGAAGGUUGGUACUUGUACCAACUGGAUGAGCAGCGAACGGGUGAGUAACGCGUGGGGAAUCUGCCUUUGAGCGGGGGACAACAUUUGGAAACGAAUGCUAAUACCGCAUAAAAACUUUAAACACAAGUUUUAAGUUUGAAAGAUGCAAUUGCAUCACUCAAAGAUGAUCCCGCGUUGUAUUAGCUAGUUGGUGAGGUAAAGGCUCACCAAGGCGAUGAUACGUAGCCGACCUGAGAGGGUGAUCGGCCACAGUGGGACUGAGACACGGCCCAAACUCCUACGGGAGGCAGCAGUAGGGAAUCUUCGGCAAUGGACGAAAGUCUGACCGAGCAACGCCGCGUGAGUGAAGAAGGUUUUCGGAUCGUAAAACUCUGUUGGUAGAGAAGAACGUUGGUGAGAGUGGAAAGCUCAUCAAGUGACGGUAACUACCCAGAAAGGGACGGCUAACUACGUG